CUAAAAUUAUCAUUUUCAAGACAAAACUCUUGCAGUACACUGAUAAAAUCGAUAAAAUACCAAAAUGUCAAAAAUAUUUUUGUUGCUAUCAAUUUUGUUUCUUAUCGGAGUUUCAGAAACUUUUGCCGGUGGAUGCGAAGGCAAAUGGUGUCAUCCGCUAAACAGACAUUAUUGCUGUUAUUCGUAUAAGUGUUCGUCUUACUGGACUCAGGGUUCAUGUUUUUAUAAAUGGUCGUGAAUAUAAGAAA